AUGAAUUGGCUGAGAACUGGGGAAUCAAGUGAUGUUAUUAUCUAAAUAAUACCUCAUAUAUUUUUAUCUACUUACUCAUUUACCUGCUCCGUGUUACACGGACACUUUAACUAGGGUGGCAUGUCUGUGUUGGACAUGUUUGACACCUACGCUCAUUGGACACACUAUUAUGAUCAUUUUUCUUUCUUUAGUAGAAAAAAUUAUAUAAUUUUAAUUCAAAGUUGUUAUUAAAUAACAAAUAGGUAUUCUUAUAAAAGAUUUAAGAAGAAAAUUAAUAACAAGUAGAAAACUAAAAUUAUAUUUUAUAAAUGAAUUAACUAGGGUGGCAUGUCUGUGUUGGACAUGUUUGACACCUACGCUCAUUGGACACACUAUUAUGAUCAUUUUUCUUUCUUUAGUAGAAAAAAUUAUAUAAUUUUAAUUCAAAGUUGUUAUUAAAUAACAAAUAGGUAUUCUUAUAAAAGAUUUAAGAAGAAAAUUAAUAACAAGUAGAAAACUAAAAUUAUAUUUUAUAAAUGAAUAAUUUUAAAGAAUUUAAUUAAUGUGUCAGCAUGUCCAAUACUUGUAGUGUUGAACACAUGUGUCCUUGUCGGUGCAUCAUAACUUGUUCCUAUGUUACUUAGCUGCAUCCUCUUUGUUUUUCUAUCAUAGAGCC
rnacentral:lncRNA from 1 species